rnacentral:lncRNA from 1 species
AUGAGAAGGCCAACCCAGGGCAGCUGCCUUGAAUUAUGGAGUCACGGAGCUACGAUUUUGCCAAGGGAGAUAAAAUCAAACUAACUUCAGCUUCCUAGUGUGAAGUGAUGAGAGGGAAGUGGUGAAGCUGAAAGAGGCUGGCCAGCCUACUAGGAGAGGGAUAUUUUCAGUGACUACACACCAGGGCCACUGUGGCUGCUAACAGAGACUUAGGUGAGGGCUAUAAAGAAAAGAGACAUGACAGGCAGACAAUAGGGUGUUCAGGACGCCAGGUGAGAUAAAAGAAUCGGGUUAGUCUCAAAGACCAAGGCCCACGUGGAUACCAGGAGAGUCAGCACUCAGCAUCAGUUAACAGAAGACAUCACCCCCAACUCUAAUCCUGCAUGCAAGCUGUCUAUUUUCGCCUCUUCUGUCAUCUCUGCCGUGUUAGUGGGCCUGAAGUGUGGUGAAAGAGACAGGGACAGGACAGAGAGGUGUGUUUAUGAUUAGGGCAGAGUUGUGAAGUCUGGGAUUGGGACCUUUUUCAUGGAAGACAGAAAGAUGUCCUGCAGUUCUGUGAGGGACAGUUUAUUCAGAGAAGAGGGACGUCGCUGUUUUCUGCUUCUAUCAAGGAGGGAGUGUUUAACACACAGUAAAAUCACCGUGGAAAUUCAGGGGAAGAGUUUCUUGAUCCUGAGAGCAGUGAGCACAUAAGCAAGAAAGUUGGGAGACUUCUUUUCUUUGGAAAGAGUCCGAGUGACAAGCAGUAUCAGAGGGGCUUCAAGGAUCUUUUAAAAAGAGGCUUUCCUUCUGUCUGGGAGCAGGGAAGCCUAGGAAAGCACUGUGAUGAUGCUGAUGCUGGUGGCCAUUGCUGAGCAUCUGCUAUGAAUGGAUACAUACCCAGAUGCAAAUAAUGAUGGCAGUUAUUGUUGAGCAUC